rnacentral:rRNA from 1 species
AUGAAGGGCACCUGGUCACCUCGGAACUACCUGCCUCCGCCGCCGCCGGCCCUCUCCGCCCUCCCCCGGUCUUUUCCGCCCUCCGUCGCCCUGUUCUUCUUCCCCUCCCCAUCCUCUCCUAAUCUUCUCCGGCGCGCGCACUCGCGGAUGCAGGCGCAUGGCUUGGGCAGGAGACAUGGCUCACGGCGGCGGCAUCUCUCCUCAGGAGGAGCUCGGGCGUUGAGGUCGGGGUGUGCGCUGCCCCUAGGACGGAGUCCACCGACCCAUGCUGGUCAUGGUCCACCACCACCACGCCUUCAAUCCGACCUCCACCACUCCAGCAAGCAGGAGCAUCGCAAUGGCUGCGGUUUGAUGAACUUGAGUGACGAGGUUGAUUUGGAAGAUCAUGUCUCCAGACAGGAUAAAAUCAGUGCUAAUGCACCCCUUUUCUGCCUCCUCCUGAAGCUGGCAUGCCUGUUAUCCGCAAAAAUCGGUAAUGUUAUCCUGCCCAAGGACUUCGAGAAGGGUUACCGAACAAACUUCAAGAAGCCUUAG